GGCCUCGUAGCUCAGCUGGUAAAGAGUGCGCGUACAAAGCGUAAGCGGCCUCCCCUGCGUGGGUUCGAAUCCCAUCGAGGCUA
rnacentral:tRNA from 1 species